GCAGCCUUAGCGCAUGCCAUAAGCAAUAUUCGUCGGUGAUACCUGGUUGAUCCUGCCAGUAGUCAUAUGCUUGUCUCAAAGCUUAAGCCAUGCAAGUGUAAGUUCAUGCCGUAAACGAAUGGUGAAACCGCGAAUGGCUCAGGAACCGGACCUAAUCCUCGGGACCGUAUUCUUCCACCGCGAGGAGAGUGGAUAACUGUGGCAAUUCUAGAGCUAAUACAUGCAACCGAAGCCGCGAUCG